GAACUUUCGAGACACAGGUGAUCAUGAUAUCGCGUCGAUGGUGAUUGAUUAUUAAAUAAAGGAACGAAGAGAAUUCUGGAACAUGGGGGUGUUACAACAAGCUCAACUGUAUUGAUAUUGAGGUGCUGUGUGUUGUGGCAUGACAGAUUACAAUAAUUCAGCAAGAAUGUUUAGACAGAUUUGGGGUUGAACGCAAGGCUGACGAAUAUGCUCCGUAAAGGAAUUGUUGUUGCGAAAUCCAAAGAAGACACAUCUAGGACGGAACAAGUUGGCUGAAACCGCGAAGUGUGACUUGUAUUCGGGAGGUAUCCGGUUUGAAUCGCGGCCGGAACACCGAUUAUCCUGUUUAAAAUAUUUCGCUGUUUUUCUCUUUCCUCCAGUCAACAGUCGAGGUACUACUCCAUAUACAUUAUUUACAAUUCAUCAUUCAGUCUCAGCCAGUCGUUCCCUCUGUGAUCUGACAGCAUCGUUAAAUAACCUACAAAUAAAAAAAUAA